GGUAGCAGCCAUAUCACCCCUGGCAACCCACUGAAGCUAAGCAGGUGUGAGCCUGGUCAGUACCUGGAUGGGAGACAUCCCGGGAAAAAAUAAGGUUGCUGCUGGAA
rnacentral:rRNA from 1 species